rnacentral:rRNA from 1 species
UACGUAGGAGGCAAGCGUUGUCCGGAAUCACUGGGCGUAAAGCGCGUGUAGGCGGUCGCGCAAGUCUGCUGUGAAAGCGCCCCGCUUAACGGGGCGAGGUCGGCGGAAACUGCGGGACUCGAGGACGGUAGAGGGGGGUGGAAUUCCCGGUGUAGUGGUGAAAUGCGUAGAGAUCGGGAGGAACACCUGUGGCGAAGGCGGCCCCCUGGGCCGCUCCUGACGCUGAGACGCGAAGGCGCGGGGAGCGAACGG